rnacentral:rRNA from 1 species
AUGGAAGAGAUGGUCGCUUUUAUGAAUUACAGGAUCAUACCAUCAGCCCCACUUAACUGCAGCAGCACCACCACCACCAAGGAGACGCCAAAAGAUGAGGAAGACAAGGUGCUGCAGUCGGGGAUCGACGGCAUCUUACAGCGGCUAGCUGAUAUGCGGCGUGACAUGUCCAAGCUCAAAUCGGAACUGGCCCCUUUCCGGCACAAGUACCCUUAUGAGAAGGUGCUGACUUCUUCAGAGGAGAGGGAGAAGAGGCUCAAGUUCAGGCAGGAGUAUGAGAAGAUGGAUAAUAAGGAGAAGGCAAGGAGGGAGAUGGAGUUCGACGUGAGUGACUUCGAGGGCUACUGUCAAGGCUUGACAUCUUUAGUUGAACACUUUGAAUUCAUGACCCUAGUGAGCCCCAUGCACUUUACACACUGCACGCCCAGACAGAUGCCACACCAUCUUGCUACCUACGGGACCACCUUGCAGAUCUUGUCUUUCAAAAUUGCCAACAUCGAUUUGGACCUGAAAUGGCCACUCCUGGAAUGGCCACUUAAAGUGUACGGCGUCGUCGCCGCACGAGACAAUGUGGAUCGUAGACGCAAUAUUCUCUUUUUGAGGGAAAGGGGGAACUUCCAAGAGAUCACCCAAGAUAAACCCUUCUUGAGCUUGACUGGCCCAACUCGUGCAAUUUUGGCUAAGGACCCUGUUAACCUCGAAGUCCAACUAAAACUUAAAGGCCCAACAGAGCCUGAAGACAGAGUGUUGAUCACUAAACGAUGCCAGUACAGUGGCUAUCAUACCGAUAAUGGUUUAUACGCUCUUACCUUGAAGAACUGUCUUUGCACAACAGAGUUAAGCCUUCAACAACUAUACCGUCAAUCAGUCCAAGCAACUUUUUUGCGUGUUGGUGGCUUUGUUAAAGGCAGUACAACCCCUUUCAUUCAUGGAGGCCGAGUUGCUUGCUCCUCACCACCCCACUUAUAUCUAUCUAUUUCUCUGUUUUGCCUGUCGUUGUUUGUUUGUCCAAGUGUUCGAUCGGCUAUGUAA